AAACCGUACAGGGCCCCAUGGACUCAGCUUUGAUAUUCAUUCUUGUGAUUUUCUUCAGAAAUAUUACCAUCUAGAAGAAAAAUGUGGAAAAUUUCCCCCCCUUUCUGCACUUAUCACCGAGCUCAGAAAGGAGAUAGUUGUGUAGCAGUUCACCAUUGUGUUUUGUGUAUGUGUGUGAAUAAGUGUGGCGGUGGCCUGGGUGCUUUGCAGGAAUUCCAACUGAUAGUUAAUGCAUGAAGCAAUAUUAAAGAUAAAUUUAGGGCAGCUCGGGUGGCUCAGUGGUUUAGCGCUGCCAUCAGCCCAGGGCCUGAUCCUGGAGACCUGGGAUCGAGUCCCACAUCGGGCUCCCUGCAUGGAGCCUGCUACUCCCUCUGCCUGUGUCUCUGCCUCUCUCUCUCUCUCUCUGUCUCUCAUGAAUAAAUAAAAUCCUUUAAAAAAUGAUAAAUUUAAGACAUAAUUUUUACCCAUCGUGAUUUUGCUGUUUUAUGUGUUAUAGGGGAGUUGAAGAAACCCAGAAAGAUGAUUCCAAGAUGCAUAUUUACUGCAUUACCUCUGGUGACUAUCAUAUAUCUAUAGAUGCUGUGGCUAUAAUGUGGACUGACAGAGUUAUCCCCUCAUUAACUUUCUAUUUGGUCUGUAUAUUGUCAAUGAUAGGAAUACUAAAACUGCGAUACCAAGAGCCCAAUCUACCUAGACCUUAUAAGAUGUCUUUUCCAUUACCAUUGGUAACAACAGCUAUCUACCUAUGUUUGGUUUUGAUCCCUUUGGUGAAGUCUCCACAUAUACAUUAUAUCUACGUGUGUCUCUUUGUCUCAAUGGACUUCUGUAUUACAGACCUUUAA
rnacentral:lncRNA from 12 species